AGAGAGACAGAGUGAAAGAGAGAAAUGGAGAAUAAGAGACAGGGAGCAAUACAAGAGAGAGAGAGAGAGAGAGCAGUUUUGAACGGUUCGCAUUCUACCUUGUCUUCUCCUCCAUGUUCUUUUUAUUUA
rnacentral:ribozyme from 14 species